CACUUUCCUCUCUUGUUUUUUUCUAGCCAUCAGAUCACUGUGGAUGAUAAUUUGUAGUCAAAAUUGCAGCCAUGAGAUCAAAAGAGAUCUGAUAAAAGGACAUAUCAAAUCAACUUCAAUAAAAUUGGAGCCAGCUCUUGCUCUCACUACCAACUUUGCAAUGUCCAUCAACACCCACAAACUCACAAAAGCUCAAAAUCUUUCAAAUUUCAUAAGAACACCAGUUGCUAACUAGCUACCCUACUUGCGAAACUCUGAACCAUUGAUGGCUAAGGGCAUUUCUUCAACUUACAAUUUCAUUAGACAAACCCCAUUUCUUGCCAUCUUAUUUCGUAACCCAUUUUGAAAAAUCAAAAAUAAAGAUUUGAUUUCGUUUUUUGUUUUUGUUUUUGUUUUUUCAGGUAUGAUAUCUACAUAAUUUAGGUGUUUGAAGCCCUUCCCUCUAUGGAAAUUCUCUCCUCUCUUAGGUAGGGAUUUCAUCUAUUUUAUAUUUUUUUGCUUUUGAUAAUAUCUUUUGUGUAUUUUCCCUCCAUCUUGGUGUUGUUAAAGAACAAAAUAAGCAAGAAAACCAUGGAAACAAGAAAAAAAACCAAAUUAAUUGACAUGGAAUUGAUAUACCUGGUUUAAUUGUUUGGGCAAGUUGGAUUAUUUUACCUCUCUUUGUAUGCUGCAUUGCAAGUAAAAAAUAUUUAUUUUUAGACCAAAAGGGAAGCUUUUUGGGACAAGUGGUUUUAUAAAAAGCCAUUCAAUAAGAGGAUGUUUGGUAAAGUUUUUUUAUUUUUUUGUUUUGUUUAAUUUUUUGUUUUUGUUGUUAAUUUUUUAUAAAACAAAAACUAAAAGUAGUUUAUUAACUUUUUUUAAACUAUUUAAACAAAAUUGUUUAGUUUCACCUACUUUUAACUAUUUACAAAAAGAUGUGUGGUGGAGGAGUUGGUGGUGGUGAUGGAGGAGGAGGAGGAGGAGGUGGAGUGAGCAGGUGGUGGAGAGGUAGUGAUGGAGGAGGAGGUGGGGGUAUGGCGGUGGAAGGAGCGGCGGUGAUGGUGAUGGUGAUGGUGUAGGAGGUAGGUGGUGGAGGAGGAGGGGAAGGAGGAGUAGGUGUGGUGGUGGUGGGGGUGGAGGAGGUGGUGGUGGUGGUGAGGAGAGGAGGAGGAGAGAGGAGGAGAGGUGGAGGGUGGAGGGGAGGUGGUAGUGGUGGUUGAAAAAAUUUGGAUAAAAAAUUUACAAAUAAAUUUUGUAAACAAAACCAAAAUAACUUUUUCUUAUUUUCACUAUUUUCAAAAAUAGUAAAAAUUGUUUACUUUAUUUUUAUUUAUUUUUUGUAACUCAAAUAAAUUUUCUGUUUUUAUUAAUAAAUUAAACAAAAUAAAAAAAUUAAAAUUAAAAUCAAACAGUUACCAAACAUCACCUAAGUUUUGUUUUCGAUUAUUCUCUGAACUCAAAUCCAUGUCCUUGUUCUAUUAGUUGAGUUAGAAUAAUUUUUUUUGUAAUUACUUAGUGGAAUGUGUGAAGAUUCCUUUAGGCACUACUUGUGCAAUUUCCUAGAUCAUGGAUUUUGACCAUUCAGACUCUGUUAGCAAAUGGCCCUUUUGAAGGGAGGAUUAGUAUGGUUAUUGAAUAUUUUGAAGAAAUCUUAAUAUCAAAUCAAUUGUAUUAUUAUUUUUUUUUCAGGUGAUUUUUGAUGAUUUUGGGUGAGUGUUGAUCAUAGCUCUGAAUGAUAUCUACCUUCAUUGGUUACCCCCCCCCCCACCCCCCCCCACACCCCCCCCCCCCCCCCCCCCCACAUGCUUAUUUUCUCUCCUGGUAUUUUUCUUUUAUUUCUCUUUUGUAGGUUUUAUUUUUUGCAUUAAUUUCUUUGUUUGGUUGGAUUAAUCGUCAAUAAUAUUGCUAAUCUUAUAUUACAAACCGUAUUUUUGUUACCAAUAUGCAAUUUCACAUUUUAGAGUGAAUAAAAUUGGUAAUCCUAUACUACGAACCGUAUUGGACCUAUUCCAUUUGCCUUUUGUUGGGAGCUCUUAAAUGAACAAAAAUAAAGAUACCAAACUCUCUCUCUCUCUAUUAAUUCAUCAAAGGGAUUUUUUUUUUCAUAUGGGUUAUUUGAUUUCUUGAUUGUUGAUUGUGUAUCAAUUAAUUGUAAUUUUGAAAUUUGUUCAAUUUUUUGAGGUUUCUGGUUCAUUAUAUCCUUGCAUGACUACUUGAUAAUGCUUUGUGGACAUGCUUUUAAAUGCAUGCACACAAUUUUUGAUUUGAUGUGAAGCUGGGAUGUUUCUAUUCUAUUUUUUUUUAUUUAAACUAAUUUUCUACAACUAUAUGAUCUGUUUGUUGGGCACUAAAAUAUAUUUUUAUUGUGUUUUGUUUAUUUUUUUUCUAAGUUUGAAGAACACAACAACUUUGAUAAAGCUGUUGGGUCAUCUGGUUAGUUCGGGUGGUCAGUAGUAACGAAGAGAAGUAUGUUUAGUGCCUACAUGCAUAAGCAAUUUACUAGUAUAAUACUAACACACAA
rnacentral:lncRNA from 1 species